AGAGUUCGAUUCUGGCUCAGGAUGAACGCUACCUACAGGCUUAACACAUGCAAGUCGAGGGGCAGCAUGAACUUAGCUUGCUAAGUUUGAUGGCGACCGGCGCACGGGUGAGUAACGCGUAUCCAACCUUCCGCUUACUCGGGGAUAGCCUUUCGAAAGAAAGAUUAAUACCCGAUGGUAUCUUAAGCACGCAUGAGAUUAAGAUUAAAGAUUUAUCGGUAAGCGAUGGGGAUGCGUUCCAUUAGGCAGUUGGCGGGGUAACGGCCCACCAAACCUACGAUGGAUAGGGGUUCUGAGAGGAAGGUCCCCCACAUUGGAACUGAGACACGGCCCAA
rnacentral:rRNA from 1 species